rnacentral:rRNA from 1 species
UACGAAGGGGGCUAGCGUUGUUCGGAAUUACUGGGCGUAAAGCGCGUGUAGGCGGGUCUUUAAGUCAGGGGUGAAAUCCUGGAGCUCAACUCCAGAACUGCCUUUGAUACUGAGGAUCUUGAGUACGGGAGAGGUGAGUGGAACUGCGAGUGUAGAGGUGAAAUUCGUAGAUAUUCGCAAGAACACCAGUGGCGAAGGCGGCUCACUGGACCAUUACUGACACUGAGGCACGAAAGCUAGGGGAGCAAACAGG